rnacentral:rRNA from 1 species
GGGGGACGGAGAAGGCUAUGUUGGCCGGGCGACGGUUGUCCCGGUUUAAGCGUGUAGGCUGGUUUUCCAGGCAAAUCCGGAAAAUCAAGGCUGAGGCGUGAUGACGAGGCACUACGGUGCUGAAGCGACAAAUGCCCUGCUUCCAGGAAAAGCCUCUAAGCAUCAGGUAACAUCAAAUCGUACCCCAAACCGACACAGGUGGUCAGGUAGAGAAUACCAAGGCGCUUGAGAGAACUCGGGUGAAGGAACUAGGCAAAAUGGUGCCGUAACUUCGGGAGAAGGCACGCUGAUAUGUAGGUGAAGCGACUUGCUCGUGGAGCUGAAAUCAGUCGAAGAUACCAGCUGGCUGCAACUGUUUAUUAAAAACACAGCACUGUGCAAACACGAAAGUGGACGUAUACGGUGUGACGCCUGCCCGGUGCCGGAAGGUUAAUUGAUGGGGUUAGCGGUAACGCGAAGCUCUUGAUCGAAGCCCCGGUAAACGGCGGCCGUAACUAUAACGGUCCUAAGGUAGCGAAAUUCCUUGUCGGGUAAGUUCCGACCUGCACGAAUGGCGUAAUGAUGGCCAGGCUGUCUCCACCCGAGACUCAGUGAAAUUGAACUCGCUGUGAAGAUGCAGUGUACCCGCGGCAAGACGGAAAGACCCCGUGAACCUUUACUAUAGCUUGACACUGAACAUUGAGCCUUGAUGUGUAGGAUAGGUGGGAGGCUUUGAAGUGUGGACGCCAGUCUGCAUGGAGCCGACCUUGAAAUACCACCCUUUAAUGUUUGAUGUUCUAACGUGGGCCCCUUACCGGGGUUGCGGACAGUGUCUGGUGGGUAGUUUGACUGGGGCGGUCUCCUCCUAAAGAGUAACGGAGGAGCACGAAGGUUGGCUAAUCCUGGUCGGACAUCAGGAGGUUAGUGCAAUGGCAUAAGCCAGCUUGACUGCGAGCGUGACGGCGCGAGCAGGUGCGAAAGCAGGUCAUAGUGAUCCGGUGGUUCUGAAUGGAAGGGCCAUCGCUCAACGGAUAAAAGGUACUCCGGGGAUAACAGGCUGAUACCGCCCAAGAGUUCAUAUCGACGGCGGUGUUUGGCACCUCGAUGUCGGCUCAUCACAUCCUGGGGCUGAAGUAGGUCCCAAGGGUAUGGCUGUUCGCCAUUUAAAGUGGUACGCGAGCUGGGUUUAGAACGUCGUGAGACAGUUCGGUCCCUAUCUGCCGUGGGCGCUGGAGAACUGAGGGGGGCUGCUCCUAGUACGAGAGGACCGGAGUGGACGCAUCACUGGUGUUCGGGUUGUCAUGCCAAUGGCACUGCCCGGUAGCUAAAUGCGGAAGAGAUAAGUGCUGAAAGCAUCUAAGCACGAAACUUGCCCCGAGAUGAGUUCUCCCUGACUCCUUGAGAGUCCUGAAGGAACGUUGAAGACGACGACGUUGAUAGGCCGGGUGUGUAAGCGCAGCGAUGCGUUGAGCUAACCGGUACUAAUGAACCGUGAGGCUUAACCUUACAACGCCG